AGAGUUUGAUCAUGGCUCAGAACGAACGCUGGCGGCGUGCUUAACACAUGCAAGUCGAACGAGAAAGUUUCUUCGGAAAUGAGUAAAGUGGCGCACGGGUGAGUAACGCGUAGAUAACCUGUCCAAGUGAUCGGGAUAGCCCUUCGAAAGGGGGAUUAAUACCGGAUACGUUGAUUGUUUUUAAGGACGAUCAAGAAAGGUGGCCUCUAUUUAUAAGCUAUCGCACAUGGAGGGGUCUGCGUACCAUUAGCUAGUUGGUGGGGUAAGAGCCUACCAAGGCUACGAUGGUUAGCGGGUCUGAGAGGAUGAUCCGUCACACUGGCACUGAAACACGGGCCAGACCCCUACGGGAGGCAGCAGUGAGGAAUAUUGCGCAAUGGGGGCAACCCUGACGCAGCGACGCCGCGUGGGUGAGGAAGGCUUUCGGGUCGUAAAACCCUGUCAGAUGGGAAGAAAUGCUUAUAGGUUAAUAUCUUAUAAGUUUGACGGUACCAUCAAAGGAAGCACCGGCUAACUCCGUGCCAGCAGCCGCGGUAAUACGGAGGGUGCAAGCGUUGUUCGGAAUCACUGGGCGUAAAGGGCGCGUAGGCGGCUUGGCAAGUCAGAUGUGAAAGCCCACAGCUUAA
rnacentral:rRNA from 1 species